GAUCUCCGGCGCGGCGGCAUUUACAUCUGUUUCGAAACUUUUCCGUUUAAUUCUCUGAUUUCACCUCUAUUUCGUGCAUAAAGACAACUUUUGGAUGGAUCAACAUUGAAGACAAACAGGCAACAGAGCUAAAGACAGCGACUAGCCAGGAUGGUGCUGGCAAGCUAUGACAACGUGUACAACAGUUGGGGGAGAAACUGGAGCCAAGCAUAUCGGGCCGCGCUGUAGACCAUGAUCCGGUCCAUGUAUAGUUGACCAGAGGGACGCGUCAUGACGUUACGGAGCGGGAGCCGCAAGAUUAGGGCAAGAGUAACUGCUUCAGGGGCAGUCCUGGGGAUGCUGCUCCCUCGAUUCGAA